rnacentral:snoRNA from 12 species
GGUUCAUGAUGACACAGGACCUUGUCUGAACUUCAUGAUCUCAAAACAUGAGCUUGGAUAUGUCACUGAAAUC